rnacentral:tRNA from 1 species
GAGGGUAUAGCUCAGUGGUAGAGUGAUUGUUUAGCAUGCAGGAGGCCCUGGGUUCAAUCCCCAGUACCUCUA